GUCAUGGUUGAGGGGAGGAGAUCUGCACGGUGUCAUCGCUGCGUCGUCUUCCCCGACAAGUUCUCCGCUUGUUCUGCUUUUGCUCCGGCGGAUGUGAAGCACUCGGAGCACAGUUUGGGCGUGGACUCAAUGCCACUGGCUGAGGAGAUCUGAGAGAAGAGCAAAACAGAGAGAUUCAGAGAGGAGAGAGAACUCGCCUCGCCGUCGUCUUGCCGUCGCCACCGCAGUUCAUCGCCUCUCCAGAUCUGGUCGCAACGCCCAAGCCUCUGAGGAUGUUCCAUUACGACCUCCUUGACGAGACGCAGAACAAGCUCGAUUAUAUCCUCCCUCUCUCUCUCUCUCACUGUUGAGAACUUCCUCGAGUGCCGCCUUCAUAUUCUCAUCUUCAAGUCCGGCAUGGCCAAGUUCAUCCAUCAGUGCAUAUUAGGCCAGAGAGGAGGUUCAUUGAGCUGGAGGCUCUGGAGAAAAUCAUACAGGAAAGAAUAUUGUCAGUACUGAAAUUUUCAGUGGAGGAUCUGUUGGAUAUAGUAUGUAGUCUUGGGAGUUUGUUGUAAAAUUUUUAUCACAGAUAAUGUUUAAAUCUCCUUAUUUGAAAAAGGAAGUGGAGAUUGAAUGUUGAAGUUUUGGCAUUUAGCCCGUGAGUGAGCAACUGUGGCUUGUAAAUGAGAAGUUUUAAUUUGAUAUUUGUCGUUAAUUUCCCUUUACUGUUCAAGGGGAAACACUCAGAUUGUUCCAGAAUUUCCAGCGAAACUUGAUUGGCUGAAUACAGCUCCACUACAAUUUCGCAGGGAUCUGAAAGGAAAAGUUGUUGUCCUGGAUUUCUGGACUUAUUGUUGUAUAAACUGUAUGCAUGUCUUACCAGACCUAGAAUUUUUGGAGAAGAAAUACAAAGAUAUGCCAGUGUUCAUUCUGCGAAGUUUGAUAAUGAGAAAGAUUCUGAAGCCAUUCGUAAUGCAGUUCUACACUAUGAUAUCACUCAUCCGGUUGUGAAUGAUAGUGACAUGUAUCUUUGGCGCAAGUUAGGCAUAAAUUCAUGGCCAACAUUUGCUGUCGUUGGCCCCAAUGGUAAGCUCCUAGCACAACUUGCUAGAGAAGGUCACAAGAAGGUGGUUACCGACCUUGAUGGGAACUUCAUUGUACAAAUUAGUAGCAGUUGGGAGCAAGGUCUGCAGGAUGGUUCAUUUGAUGAUGCCACCUUUAACAAAUUGGUGAUAGUACUUGAAAUUUAAUGGAGAUAUGGAGGAGACAGAUGAUUCGAUAAGCUGAUCAAUCUUGCUAUUCUUUUUUUUAUUAAUCAAACUAGUAUUUUGUGGAUUAUGUUGCUAUAUAAAUUUUUAGGAAUUCCGUUACCUGAUGUACUCAUUCUGUUCAAACAAGAGACUAUAGUUUUUGAUACGCUAUUACUAUUA